rnacentral:tRNA from 1 species
GCGUCUGUGGUUUAGUGGUAAAAUCCAUCGUUGCCAACUCUGAGCGAUCAGAAGGUGCAGCUUCGAUGGGCCCCGGGUUCGAUUCCCGGCGGACGCA